rnacentral:rRNA from 1 species
UACGGGGGGGGCAAGCGUUGUUCGGAAUUACUGGGCGUAAAGGGCUCGUAGGCGGCCAACUAAGUCAGACGUGAAAUCCCUCGGCUUAACCGGGGAACUGCGUCUGAUACUGGAUGGCUUGAGUUUGGGAGAGGGAUGCGGAAUUCCAGGUGUAGCGGUGAAAUGCGUAGAUAUCGAGAGGAACACCAGUGGCGAAGGCGAGUCCCUGGACAGGUCCUGACGCUGAGGCACGAAAGCUAGGGGAGCAAACGGG